rnacentral:rRNA from 1 species
UACGUAGGUCCCGAGCGUUGUCCGGAUUUAUUGGGCGUAAAGCGAGCGCAGGUGGUUCCUUAAGUCUGAUGUGAAAGCCCCCGGCUCAACCAUUGUGUGCAUUGGAAACUGUUAGACUUGAGUGCAGUAGAGGAGAGUGGAAUUCCAUGUGUAGCGGUGAAAUGCGUAGAUAUAUGGAGGAACACCGGUGGCGAAAGCGGCUCUCUGGACUGUAACUGACACUGAGGCUCGAAAGCGUGGGUAGCAAACAGG